rnacentral:rRNA from 1 species
UACGUAGGGCGCAAGCGUUGUCCGGAAUUAUUGGGCGUAAAGAGCUCGUAGGCGGCCUGUUACGUCUGCUGUGAAAUCCCGGGGCUUAACCCCGGGCGUGCAGUGGAUACGGGCAGGCUGGAGGCAGGCAGGGGAGAACGGAAUUCCCGGUGUGAGCGGUGAAAUGCGCAGAUAUCGGGAGGAACACCGGUGGCGAAGGCGGUUCUCUGGGCCUGUACUGACGCUGAGGAGCGAAAGCGUGGGGAGCGAACAGG